rnacentral:rRNA from 1 species
GACGAACGCUGGCGGCGUGCUUAACACAUGCAAGUCGAACGGAAAGGCCCUGCUUUUGUGGGGUGCUCGAGUGGCGAACGGGUGAGUAACACGUGAGUAACCUGCCCUUGACUUUGGGAUAACUUCAGGAAACUGGGGCUAAUACCGGAUAGGAGCUCCUGCCGCAUGGUGGGGGUUGGAAAGUUUCGGCGGUUGGGGAUGGACUCGCGGCUUAUCAGCUUGUUGGUGGGGUAGUGGCUUACCAAGGCUUUGACGGGUAGCCGGCCUGAGAGGGUGACCGGCCACAUUGGGACUGAGAUACGGCCCAGACUCCUACGGGAGGCAGCAAUGGGGAAUAUUGCACAAUGGGCGGAAGCCUGAUGCAGCAACGCCGCGUGCGGGAUGACGGCCUUCGGGUUGUAAACCGCUUUCGCCUGUGACGAAGCGUGAGUGACGGUAAUGGGUAAAGAAGCACCGGCUAACUACGUG